UGCAAGCGUUGUUCGGAUUGACUGGGCGUAAAGCGCACGUAGGUGGGCUUGUAAGUCGGAUGUGAAAUCCCCGGGCUUAACCUGGGAACUGCAUCCGAAACUAUAAGUCUUGAAUGCUUCAGAGGUUGGUAGAAUUCCUGGUGUAGGAGUGAAAUCCGUAGAUAUCAGGAGGAAUACCGGAGGCGAAGGCGGCCAACUGGGAGUGCAUUGACACUGAGGUGCGAAAGCGUGGGGAGCAAACAGG
rnacentral:rRNA from 1 species